UACGUAGGGGGCAAGCGUUAUCCGGAAUUACUGGGCGUAAAGCGCACGCAGGCGGUUCGCCAAGUUUGGAGUGACAGUUGUCGGCUCAACCGACAAAGGACUUCAAAAACUGGUGAACUUGAGGACGAGAGAGGAACAUGGAACUCCAGGUGUAGUAGUGAAAUGCGUAGAUAUCUGGAAGAACACCAGUGGCGAAGGCAAUGUUCUGGCUCGUUUCUGACGCUCAGGUGCGAAAGCCAGGGGAGCGAACGGG
rnacentral:rRNA from 1 species